rnacentral:rRNA from 1 species
AAUCAACGCUGGCUGCGUGCCUCAUACAUGCAGGUCGAACGAUUAAGACUUCCUAUGGGAAGUGUAUAAAGUGGCGCACGGGUGAGUAACACGUAAGUAAUCUGCCUUCGAGUGGCGAAUAACAUCGGGAAACCGAUGCUAAUACCGCCUAACGCAGCGGAAUUGCAAGAUGACAGAUGUUCAAGCAGCAAUUCGCUUGAAGAGGAGGUUGCGGCGGAUUAGCUAGUUGGUAAGGUAAUGGCUUACCAAGGCUAUGAUCGGUAUCCGGUCUAAGAGGACGGUCGGACACACUGCAACUGAAUAACGGGUCAGACUCCUACGGGAGGCAGCAGUCGGGAAUUUUGGGCAAAGGGCGAAAGCCUGACCCAGCAACGCCGCGUGAGGGAUGAAGUAUUUCGGUAUGUAAACCUCGAAAGAAUGGGAAGAAUAAAUGACGGUACCAUUUAUAAGCUCCGGCUAACUACGUGCCAGCAGCCGCCGUAACAC